rnacentral:rRNA from 1 species
UACGUAGGGUGCGAGCGUUUGUCCGGAAUUAUUGGGCGUAAAGAGCUCGUAGGCGGUUUGUCACGUCUGCUGUGAAAAACUGGAGGCUCAACCUCCAGCCUGCAGUGGGUACGGGCAGACUAGAGUGCGGUAGGGGAGAUUGGAAUUCCUGGUGUAGCGGUGGAAUGCGUAGAUAUCGGAAGGAACAUCAGUGGCGAAAGCGGCUUCCUGGACCAGUACCGACGUUCAGGCACGAAAGCGUGGGGAGCAAACAGG